rfam:Gossypium hirsutum cultivar TM-1 chromosome 22, whole genome shotgun sequence
UCCUCAGUAGCUCAACGGUAGAGUAUUCGGCUGGUAACUGACUGGUCGUAGGUUCAAAUCCUACUUGAGGAG